rnacentral:rRNA from 1 species
ACAAGCGGUGGAGCAUGUGGUUAAUUCGAAGCAACGCGAAGAACCUUACCAGGUCUUGACAUCCCUGACAACCAAGAGAUUGGGCGUUCCCCUUCGGGGGACAGGGUGACAGGUGGUGCAUGGUUGUCGUCAGCUCGUGUCGUGAGAUGUUGGGUUAAGUCCCGCAACGAGCGCAACCCUCGCCUCUAGUUGCCAGCAUUCGGUUGGGCACUCUAGAGGGACUGCCGGCGACAAGUCGGAGGAAGUGGGAUGACGUCAAAUCAUCAUGCCCCUUAUGACCUGGGCUACACACGUGCUACAAUGGGCGGUACAAAGGGCUGCGAACCCGCGAGGGGGAGCGAAUCCCAAAAAGCCGCUCUCAGUUCGGAUUGCAGGCUGCAACUCGCCUGCAUGAAGCCGGAAUCGCUAGUAAUCGCGGAUCAGCAUGCCACGGUGAAUACGUUCCCGGGCCUU